AAGCUUGCAAUCGAUCACGCACUUCUAAAAUUACAAACUCUUUCAAUAAACUCCGAACAAUCUCCUGAAGACUUAGAUAAUUCCAUAGAUUUGCUGAAUAAAAUCGCCGAUGUCUCCAAUAAGUCCAAUGUUACACUGCCAAAGUCGAGGAUCGUGACAACAAUUGACAAUAUACUAGCAGAAAAUCACACUGCUGCUUGGAAAAACAUUUCUGCAAAGCAGGUCUCUGCAAGAGUCAAUAAAAUCUUCAAGACCGUUGACAAAAUAGGUUUGCAUCUCUUAGAAACGGUCAACGAGAACGAAAGCAUCACAUUUAACUCAACGAAAAAUAUCGUUUUCACAGUGGCAAAGAUUCCAGCAGAUCAGCCCGUUAUUUUCCCAGAAAACAAUAGCAUCCUAAUUUCAUCGCUAGUGUUUCCAGUACAAGUUAAUGGUUUUAAUCAAAGUAUUCCCUACCUUGCAGUGAAGUACACAACACUAGCGAAACAUUUAAAUGACAAAAAAAG